UCCUGUGUACUCGCCACAUCCCACGUAUAAUCCUCCAUCAGGCUUACGACCUGAAUACCAUCUUGGUAGCCUAUUAAGUGAGUACAGUUCUACCAGAGGCAUGCCUCAUGAGUGUUAUUCAUCUCCAAACUCUCUGCCCGCUUUCCAUUAUCAUCAACCCGUAUACUCCCAAGAUUCUGUGUACACACCACAUCCCACGUAUAAUCCACCAUUAGGCUUACGACCUGAAUACCGUCUUGGUAGCCUAUUAAGUGAGUACAGUUCUACCAGAGGCAUGCCUCAUGAGUGUUAUUCAUCUCCAAACUCUCUGCCCGCUUUCCAUUAUCAUCAACCCGUAUACUCCCAAGAUUCUGUGUACACACCACAUCCCACGUAUAAUCCACCAUUAGGCUUACGACCUGAAUACCG
rnacentral:misc_RNA from 1 species